GAUGAACGCUGGCGGCGUGCUUAACACAUGCAAGUCGAACGGCAAGGCCCUGCUUUCUUGCGGCGCCUGAGUGGCGAACGGGUAAGUAACACGAGCGUAUCCUGCCCUUGACUUUGGCCUAGCUUCAGCCAACCGAGGCUCAUACUGGAUAGGUGUUUCUGCUGUUUGGUGGGUGUUGGAAAGUUUCGGCGGUUGGGGAUGGACUCGCGGCUUAUCAGCUUGUUGGUGGGGUAGUGGCUUACCAAGGCUUUGACGGGUAGCCGGCCUGAGAGGGUGACCGGCCACCUGGGGACUGAGAUACGGCCCGGAGUAGUGCGGGAGACAGCAGUAGGGAAUAUUGCACAAUCGGCUGAAGCCUGGUGCAGCAACGCCGCGUGCGGGAUGACAACCUUCGGGUUGUAAACCGCUUUCUCCUGUGACGGUGCGUGUGUGACGGUAAUGGAUGAAUAAGCACCGGCUAACUACGUG
rnacentral:rRNA from 1 species